GCUGGGCACAGUGGCACAUGCCUCUAAUCCCAGCAUCUCGGGAGGCUGAGGCAGGAGGAUUUGGAGUUUGAAGAGAGCCUCAGCAAAAGUGAGGCGAGCCUCAGCAAAAGUGAGGCUCCAAGCAACUCAUUGAGAUCAUGUCUCUG
rnacentral:sRNA from 1 species